UUAAGUUAUUAAGGGCGCACGGUGGAUGCCUUGGCACUAGAAGCCGAUGAAGGACGUUACUAACGACGAUAUGCUUUGGGGAGCUGUAAGUAAGCUUUGAUCCAGAGAUUUCCGAAUGGGGAAACCCAGCAUGAGUUAUGUCAUGUUAUCGAUAUGUGAAUACAUAGCAUAUCAGAAGGCACACCCGGAGAACUGAAACAUCUUAGUACCCGGAGGAAGAGAAAGAAAAUUCGAUUCCCUUAGUAGCGGCGAGCGAAACGGGAAGAGCCCAAACCAACAAGCUUGCUUGUUGGGGUUGUAGGACACUCUGUACGGAGUUACAAAGGACGACAUCAGACGAAUCAUCUGGAAAGAUGAAUCAAAGAAGGUAAUAAUCCUGUAGUCGAAAAUGUUGUCUCUCUUGAGUGGAUCCUGAGUACGACGGAGCACGUGAAAUUCCGUCGGAAUCUGGGAGGACCAUCUCCUAAGGCUAAAUACUCUCUAGUGACCGAUAGUGAACCAGUACCGUGAGGGAAAGGUGAAAAGCACCCCGGAAGGGGAGUGAAAUAGAACCUGAAACCGUGUGCUUACAAGUAGUCAGAGCCCGUUAAUGGGUGAUGGCGUGCCUUUUGUAGAAUGAACCGGCGAGUUACGAUUUGAUGCAAGGUUAAGCAGUAAAUGUGGAGCCGUAGCGAAAGCGAGUCUGAAUAGGGCGUUUAGUAUUUGGUCGUAGACCCGAAACCAGGUGAUCUACCCUUGGUCAGGUUGAAGUUCAGGUAACACUGAAUGGAGGACCGAACCGACUUACGUUGAAAAGUGAGCGGAUGAACUGAGGGUAGCGGAGAAAUUCCAAUCGAACCUGGAGAUAGCUGGUUCUCUCCGAAAUAGCUUUAGGGCUAGCCUCAAGUGAUGAUUAUUGGAGGUAGAGCACUGUUUGGACGAGGGGCCCCUCUCGGGUUACCGAAUUCAGACAAACUCCGAAUGCCAAUUAAUUUAACUUGGGAGUCAGAACAUGGGUGAUAAGGUCCGUGUUCGAAAGGGAAACAGCCCAGACCACCAGCUAAGGUCCCAAAAUAUAUGUUAAGUGGAAAAGGAUGUGGCGUUGCCCAGACAACUAGGAUGUUGGCUUAGAAGCAGCCAUCAUUUAAAGAGUGCGUAAUAGCUCACUAGUCGAGUGACACUGCGCCGAAAAUGUACCGGGGCUAAACAUAUUACCGAAGCUGUGGAUUGUCCUUUGGACAAUGGUAGGAGAGCGUUCUAAGGGCGUUGAAGCAUGAUCGUAAGGACAUGUGGAGCGCUUAGAAGUGAGAAUGCCGGUGUGAGUAGCGAAAGACGGGUGAGAAUCCCGUCCACCGAUUGACUAAGGUUUCCAGAGGAAGGCUCGUCCGCUCUGGGUUAGUCGGGUCCUAAGCUGAGGCCGACAGGCGUAGGCGAUGGAUAACAGGUUGAUAUUCCUGUACCACCUAUAAUCGUUUUAAUCGAUGGGGGGGACGCAGUAGGAUAGGCGAAGCGUGCGAUUGGAUUGCACGUCUAAGCAGUAAGGCUGAGUAUUAGGCAAAUCCGGUACUCGUUAAGGCUGAGCUGUGAUGGGGAGAAGACAUUGUGUCUUCGAGUCGUUGAUUUCACACUGCCGAGAAAAGCCUCUAGAUAGAAAAUAGGUGCCCGUACCGCAAACCGACACAGGUAGUCAAGAUGAGAAUUCUAAGGUGAGCGAGCGAACUCUCGUUAAGGAACUCGGCAAAAUGACCCCGUAACUUCGGGAGAAGGGGUGCUCUUUAGGGUUAACGCCCAGAAGAGCCGCAGUGAAUAGGCCCAAGCGACUGUUUAUCAAAAACACAGGUCUCUGCUAAACCGUAAGGUGAUGUAUAGGGGCUGACGCCUGCCCGGUGCUGGAAGGUUAAGAGGAGUGGUUAGCUUCUGCGAAGCUACGAAUCGAAGCCCCAGUAAACGGCGGCCGUAACUAUAACGGUCCUAAGGUAGCGAAAUUCCUUGUCGGGUAAGUUCCGACCCGCACGAAAGGCGUAACGAUUUGGGCACUGUCUCAACGAGAGACUCGGUGAAAUCAUAGUACCUGUGAAGAUGCAGGUUACCCGCGACAGGACGGAAAGACCCCGUGGAGCUUUACUGUAGCCUGAUAUUGAAAUUCGGCACAGCUUGUACAGGAUAGGUAGGAGCCUUUGAAACGUGAGCGCUAGCUUACGUGGAGGCGCUGGUGGGAUACUACCCUAGCUGUGUUGGCUUUCUAACCCGCACCACUUAUCGUGGUGGGAGACAGUGUCAGGCGGGCAGUUUGACUGGGGCGGUCGCCUCCUAAAAGGUAACGGAGGCGCUCAAAGGUUCCCUCAGAAUGGUUGGAAAUCAUUCAUAGAGUGUAAAGGCAUAAGGGAGCUUGACUGCGAGACCUACAAGUCGAGCAGGGUCGAAAGACGGACUUAGUGAUCCGGUGGUUCCGCAUGGAAGGGCCAUCGCUCAACGGAUAAAAGCUACCCCGGGGAUAACAGGCUUAUCUCCCCCAAGAGUUCACAUCGACGGGGAGGUUUGGCACCUCGAUGUCGGCUCAUCGCAUCCUGGGGCUGUAGUCGGUCCCAAGGGUUGGGCUGUUCGCCCAUUAAAGCGGUACGCGAGCUGGGUUCAGAACGUCGUGAGACAGUUCGGUCCCUAUCCGUCGUGGGCGUAGGAAAUUUGAGAGGAGCUGUCCUUAGUACGAGAGGACCGGGAUGGACAUACCUCUGGUGUACCAGUUGUCGUGCCAACGGCAUAGCUGGGUAGCUAUGUGUGGACGGGAUAAGUGCUGAAAGCAUCUAAGCAUGAAGCCCCCCUCAAGAUGAGAUUUCCCAACUUCGGUUAUAAGAUCCCUCAAAGAUGAUGAGGUUAAUAGGUUCGAGGUGGAAGCAUGGUGACAUGUGGAGCUGACGAAUACUAAUCGAUCGAAGACUUAAUCAA
rnacentral:rRNA from 2 species